rnacentral:rRNA from 1 species
AUGCAGAAAUAUGACAGUUCAUCAUCUAAACAUACUCAAGUUCACCAUCAUCAUCUAAACAUACUCAAGUUCAUCACAUCAUCUAAAGAUCAUCACCGACUCAAGUUCAUGAACAUAAAAGUAGUGCAAGACAUGAAACAUCAUAAAAGUAGGAAUAUGAAAGGCAUGGCACGACGGCCACAUGCACGGAAUCAUCAAGCAAGACCACCUCCGCCAAAACCACCACCUCCGCCAAAACCACCACCUCCGCCAAAACCAACACCACCUCCGCCAAAACUGCCAUCGCGACCACCACCACUCUGCCAGAUCGGAGUGACUGGGGUCGACGGAGCAGGAGUCGAGCCACCGGUCCCCUACAUGUUUCAGAAAAGAUUCUAA